rnacentral:tRNA from 1 species
GCUCCGAGGUGUAAACACAUCAGAUUGCAAAUCUGAAGUUGCAGGCUUAUCCCUGCCGGGGCUU